GGACUAACCUGUCGGGGAAGCCGCCUGGAACUCUGGGUUGGCGCAGACGCAGAGCAACCUCCAGGCGGAACUGGGGCUUCGCUGGCUCCAGGGACUAACACACCCUGUGUGAAAAGGUGGUGGCAGCGCAGAGCGGUGCGCAUGCGCGGGCAGGACUCAGGGUGAAGGGGUGAGAGCCGGACCGGGCGGCCAGCUGGGCUGGAGCGGAGCAGCGUCAGGAUGGACGAGGACGUGCUGCCCGCCCUGAAGGUCCUCAUCAUCGGCGAGAGCGGCGUCGGCAAGUCCAGGCAAGAGGGGAGUGAUACUGACAAUAGUUAGACUUGAGUGUGUGGCGGAGACUUGGAGCUCGCGGUGUAGGAAGAGCUUCCUGAUUUCGUCCAGGUCUGUGGAGCAGUUCCCCAGAAAUGGAAGAGCCAACCCUCAAAUUCACUUGAAAUUGCAAGGAGCCCAGGAUAUCCAAAACAAUCUCGAAAAAGAAGAAAAAGUUGCAGGAAUCAGAUUUCCAGAUUUCAAAACUUGCAAAGAGAUACUGUUAUGAAAACAAUAUGGUAUAAGCACGCAAAUAAAUAUACAGAAUGACAGAAUAGAAUUGGGAGUCCAGGAAUAAUCCAUAAAUAUUGCCAGUUGAUUGACAAAGUGUAGUAAGUCUAACAAACAAACUGGAAAGGUCUCUUCAAUAAAUGUUUUUUGGAAAACUGGAUCUUCACAUAAACAUGGAUGAUGCUGGGACCUUACUAAAUACCAUAAACAGAACUGAAACAGACAUUGAUCAAUAAUCUAAAUAAAAGAGUUAACACCAUAAAACUUGUAGAGGGAAACACAGGGUCAAUAUGCAUGACCUUGACUUGUCAAUGGACACUUAGAUAUAAUACCAAAAAUACAAGUACCAAAAAAAAUAGAUAUGUUGGAUUUCAUCAAAAAAAAUGUUAAUCAUUACAGGCCAUUCUCAAGAAAGUGAAGAGACAGUCUAUGUAAAGGGAGAAAAUAUCAGCUAGUCAUACAGCUGAUAAAGGGCUUAAUAAGUGAAAUAUGCAAAGUGCUAAUGAAAAACGUGAGUCAACAACAAAAGGUCAAACAACCCAAUUAUAAGAAGGGCAAAGGACUUGGAUAGACAUUUCUCCAAAGAGGAUACACAAGAGGCCGAUAAACAGUUGAAAAGACAAUCAGCGUGAUCAGAUAUUUACAGAAAUGCGAAUCACCACAAUGAGAUACCACUUGACACCAACUAAGACAGGUAAUAUCAAUAAAAGGUAAAAGAAUGAGUGUUGUUUUAUAGGGAGACUGUGGAAAAACUGGAACCCCUAUCUACUGCUGGUGGGAUCGAAAAUGGUGUAGACUCUGGAAAACCAUGUGAUGAUUCUUCAAAUAGCUGACUAUGAAAUUCUCAUACAAUCCACCAAUUCCACUUGUAAAUGAUUCUUUUAACAUGAGCACAGCAUGUUCCUUGCAGUGUUACGAUUGUCAAGAGAAGGAAAUACUCCAUGCCUACAAAAGACUAUGGAUAACCAAAUUGUGGAGCACACAUACAAUGGAGCACAGAGCCAUGGAGUGGAAUGAAGCUGUCACAUGUGCACAAGGACAAACCCUGGAAGCAUUAUGAUUAGUGAAAUAAGUCAGUCACAAAAAAUGUAUGAUUCCAUUGACAUGAAAAUCUAAGAAAAGCAAAUUCAUAGAAAGAAUAGAGUCAAGGUUAAUCAGGACUAGAGGAGAGAAAGGCAGCAGGAGCCACUGCUCACUGGUCACAGAGUUCCUCUUUCGGGUUAUGAAAGAUGUUUGGAAACAGUCACGACAGUAUGCAGCCAAGGGGAUGUGGUCGAUGCCACUGACCUAUACAAUUAAAUGGUUAGAAUGGCAUGUGUUACGUUAAAUAUCUUACAACAAAUAUUUUUAAGUUUAAAAACUAAUAAAAGUUUUUUUUACCUGUAGCAUGACAUGAUUGCAAACCACUGUCCUAGCAGUCGCCUCAAAUUCCAGUUCACUAGAAAGUGAUGUAAAGUAGACCACCUGUCGUAAAAGUACACGCAGGUAAAUAACUUUUAAUUCCAAUAUUUGUGUAUGAGUGACAAGAUCUAUCAAAAUAUUAUAGCUUAUUGAUUGUAACAUGUUACAAUUUGGUAAAAGAUUAAAAUAUGUAAAUUAUGAUUUUAGAAUAAAGGUAAUAAAAAUUUUUCUCCACCAAUCCAUGCCAUGCUUUCUAAGAUUUCUUUCAAAAAUCCAAUGUUGGGCCUCCCAUGGUGGUGCAGCGGUUGAAUGAUGGGCUGUGAAGCUGUCUGCAGCCUCUGCAGUGCCUGUUAGAUCCCAGGCCGCCAGCGAGGGUCCCAACUGAUGGCGACAGACCUCUCCUGCCACACCCACUGCUCCCCUCAGCAGUGUACUUCGCCAGUCUGCCUGUUCUGUUCUGCGCUCUGGCUCUGGUGAAUUCUCUCACACUCCCACACAUCUGACUGUGCCCAGUGCUUGUA